rnacentral:rRNA from 1 species
UGGGGAAUCUUGGACAAUGGGGGCAACCCUGAUCCAGCGACGCCGCGUGGGUGAUGAAGGCCUUAGGGUUGUAAACCCCUUUCACCGGGGAGGAUGAUGACGUUACCCGGAGAAGGAGCACCGGCUAACUCCGUGCCAGCAGCCGCGGUAAGACGGAGGGUGCUAGCGUUGUUCGGAACUACUGGGCGUAAAGGGCGCGUAGGCGGUCUGUUGCGUCAGGUGUGAAAGCCCCGGGCUCAACCUGGGAGGUGCACUUGAUACGGGCGGACUGGAAUCCGGGAGAGGAUGGUGGAAUUCCCAGUGUAGAGGUGAAAUUCGUAGAUAUUGGGAAGAACACCGAUGGCGAAGGCAGCCAUCUGGCCCGGUAUUGACGCUGAGGCGCGAAAGCGUGGGGAGCAAACAGGAUUAGAUACCCCCGUAGUCC